AGAAACAACAGGGAUUGCCCCAGUAACGGCGAGUGAAGCGGCAACAGCUCAAAUUUGAAAUCUGGGCCCCUCCGCGGGGUCCCGAGUUGUAAUUUGCAGAGGAUGCUUCUGGCGCGGCGCCUUCCGAGUUCCCUGGAACGGGACGCCACAGAGGGUGAGAGCCCCGUCCGGUCGGACGCCCAGCCUGUGUGAAGCACCUUCGACGAGUCGGGUAGUUUGGGAAUGCUGCCCUAAAUGGGAGGUAUAUGUCUUCUAAAGCUAAAUACCGGCCAGAGACCGAUAGCGCACAAGUAGAGUGAUCGAAAGAUGAAAAGCACUUUGAAAAGAGGGUUAAACAGUACGUGAAAUUGUUGAAAGGGAAGCGCUCGUGACCAGACUUGGGCCCGGGGGAUCACCCGGCGUUCUCUCGCCGGGGCACUUCGCCGGCUGCCCAGGCCAGCAUCAGUUCGCGGCGGGGGACAAAGGCUUCGGGAACGUGGCUCCCUACGGGGAGUGUUACAGCCCGCUGCGCAAUGCCCUGCCGCGGACUGAGGUUCGCGCUUCCGCAAGGAUGCUGGCGUAAUGGUCAUCAGCGACCCGUCUUGAAACACGGACCAAGGAGUCGUCUUCGUAUGCGAGUGUUCGGGUGUCAAACCCCUACGCGGAAUGAAAGUGAACGCAGGUGAGAGCUCCGGCGCAUCACCGACCGAUCCUGAUGUUCUCGGAUGGAUUUGAGUAGGAGCAUACGGGGCCGGACCCGAAAGAAGGUGAACUAUGCCUGUAUAGGGUGAAGCCAGAGGAAACUCUGGUGGAGGCUCGCAGCGGUUCUGACGUGCAAAUCGAUCGUCAAAUAUGGGCAUGGGGGCGAAAGACUAAUCGACC
rnacentral:rRNA from 1 species